GCUCUUCCGAUCUAGGAAAAGCACCUGGCUCCUGGCUCCUGCCAUCGGAUCAGCGCGGUGCGCCGGCUGCAGCGGCGGCCAUUGGAGGGUGAACCAACGGCAAAGGAAGACCUUUCUCUCUCUGUCUCUCUCUCUCACUGUCCACUCUGCCUGUUAAAAAAAAAAAAAAAAAAAAAAAAAAAAAAAAAAACUUCCACUGAGCCAGCUGUGUGAUCUGUGCCAGUGACUCUCCCUCUUUGAGACCCGGUUCUUCAUUUAUAAAGCAAGAUGAUUCAACCAGAUAUUACAACAAUGUACCUCUCUUACUGUCCUUUUUGCACUGAGGAUAAUUCUGUUUUGACAAUCAUAGGCAUGAUGAGUUUGUCAGUGUUUCUGUUUGAUGUCAAUUAUCACUAAAGCGAUGACACGAGGACCGGGAGUGAAAGAAAAGGAGGUUAAGAAGUUGUGGGGGAAUCGCUGAAUGGAGCCCAGAUUCCCUUACAGCGACUCCUUCUCCAGGAGUCCUGUGUCAGUUAGGCUGGUGAUUAUUCUGAGUCUGUUUGCAGAACUAGAGGCCCUGUCAUAUAUCAUUCCUAGGGGUUUUUUCUCGAGGGGGUUAUGGACCAAGGACAUCUGGUGCCUGAGGCUUUACGUCUGUUGCUGUGAUCAUCUAAACUGAGGAAGGGCCUAUAACACUCCAAAUGCUGGUGCCCAAAAAUCUUUAAUUCCGUCCGAAGGGUCGGGGUUAUUUCUCCAUCGGGAGUGCUAAUGGGAUUCUAAUACCCUGGCAAAUGGGAUUUUUUACAACUGCCAUUCUGCAGUUACUGAGAUGGCGUGUCGCUGGGACAGCCCUAUAAAUCCUGCCAACUCGCUCCGAGGAGGAGGAAGAAGAGGAGGAGGAGAAGGAGGGGACCACCAGCAGAGGCAGCUCACUCUGGAGCUGGUGGGUGCUGGGUCAGGGCGCUGCCCAGGGCCUGGUUCUUAGGCUGAGUUACUGCACGGAUGCCUGUUCAGCUGUCGAAAGAUGACAGGGUCCACAGCCCCAGGGCUUCAGAGAAACCAGAUGGAGUUUGAUUGGAAUGAGGCAAUGGCUCUAUAGGAGACGCUCUGUGCUCUAUGCCUCUUGCCCUUUGAAGCUUGGUUUUCCAAGAUAUCUGUUUCUGAGGGCUCAUGGGAAGAAGUCCAAGGAUAUUUGCCAAGAGCCGGUACCUCUGUCAUUUAAACUCAGUGGAAUAGAACCAGAGAAAGGUUCAUGGGGGAUGAAGAGGAAAAGGGGCAGAUAUUUGGCCCAGUGAGAGCUUGGCAUGUAUCAGAGUGCCUGGUUUUGAGUCCCAGCUCUGCUCCCGGUUCCAACUUCCUACUGCUCACCCCAGGAGGCAGCAGGUGACAGCCAAGUAGUAGGAGACCUGGAUUGAGUCGUUGGCUGUCCCCAGCAACGGCCCCCAGCAAUGGGCCGUUGUAGGUAUUUGGGCUGUGAACCAACAGAUGGAAUCUCUGGAUAUCUCUGAAAUAAAUUGAAUAAAGAAACAAACAUUUAAAAAUAAGAAGAAAAAUGAAAUAGAGCCCAUACUGGUGUCAGCGCUAAAAUGGAUGUCUGUCUGCCACAGUAAAAAAUUGGUAGAAAUAAUAGAUAUUCAAUGCUGAGAGUAAUUGCUGUUCCAGUCUGAGUUCCUUUAGGGGGCCAGGUCCCUUCUGUCAGGACACUCUCUGCAGACAAGCUUUCAAUUGGACAGCAGAAUACGUCAGUAAAAUGGGCUCAGGAAAUCAUAUUCUUUCCACUUGAACGAUGAAAAAUAACAGUGGAAGCCUUAAAUUGCUUGCUUCAGGGCACAGCUGUUUCAAGUCACUGAAAACCUCAACCCCAGAUUUGUGGCUUUGAACCCAGUCUGUGCUUCCCCAACUACUCCACUGUGAAUCUUGCGGGAAGAUGCUGGACCAGGCUGACCCCGCUUUCGUCCUCCAGGUCAAGCUGUCCCAGAAGGAAAACAUCAGCAAAAAGUGACCUCGAAUUGGGGGCUCAGGAUUGCUUAUGAGCUGGCAGUCUUGCCAGUGACCUCCUAGUUAUGACAUCCAGGGGUUCCUUUGGGUCUCCCUUCUACCCCGUCCUCAGGGGAGGUCUCUAAAUUCUCUCUGGUUUUGCAUUCCUUUUGCAAACAUUGAUUGUGCUGUCGCCUUCCUCUCCCAGACACAGACACUGAAUGGAUGAUCCCGCAGUAGCCUCGCACUGGGUAGCGGGCAUGUUUUAUCCUUGCGGCAGUGUAAGCUUCUCCAGGGCAAGACUGCAGCAAGCGUUCACUGAGUAAAUAAUGUGCAUGUAAGUAGACCCUCUGGAUGACAGGAAGGGCUAGGAGACCCAGUUCCAGUCUUCAAGGACCUUACAAAUUUCCUGGGGAGACAGGGUAUAUCCGUAAAUUGAAAUCCAAGUACAGUGUGACUGUGUUAUCAUUCUUCAUAGUAGUCACCAGUCUCGCAGCAGACGAGUGUCCUCCCAUCCUCCCAUCAGAAGACGAGGUUGGGACUGUAAUUCCUUCCUUAGAGAUAAGGAAAUAGAGGCUUGACUAAGUGAAUGGAGACUUGUCCAGAUUUUUGUUGCCAGAAGCUGUUUAGCUAAAACUCCAUCAUCUGCAGCUCGCUGUUUUGAAGAGCAUGGGGCUGGUAGAAUAAAAUCAUGCAGCUCUGAACAAUGCAAAUAGAGAUACAACCAAGCAUCAAAGCAAAAAGAAAAUCAUUGAACAAGAGGGAGGCAUGUCAGAGAAGGAGAUUAGGUUUCCACUGUUCUAGAGUUUCUUCUCCCUGGCUCCACGGCUGUGCUCUUGGUGGUGCCUGUGGAGGAAGGGCCGGGGCUCUGGAAGCCACUUGGCCAUCGUGGGGUCGGGAUGCUAGGGUCCCAAAUCCCACCUCUCCUCUUGCCUCUGGCCAGUCAGCUGCCAGAGGCACAUUUCACUCUAACCUGGCUCCACAAGCCUGUACUUCCUGCAGCAAGUUUUAGACAACAGCAAAACCUACUCUUGCUCCCACACAGCAUCUCUGGGUUGUUCUCUAAGUACACAGUUGGCCCCCUGAAUCUACAGGUUCCAUAUCUGUGGGUUCAACCAACCGCAGAUUGAAAAUACUCACAAAAGGGGUUGGUGCUGCAGCAUAGAACAUUGAACUGUUGCCUGCAGUGUCAGCAUCCAAUAUGGGUUCCAGUUUGAGUCCCGGUUGCUCCACUUCCUAUCCAGCCCUCUGCUAAGGGCCUGGGCAGGCCAUAGAAGAUGGCCCAAGUUUUAGGACCCCUGCCACCCAUGUGGGAGACCCAGAAGAAGCUCCUGGCUCCUAGCUUUGGCCUGGCCCAACCCUGGCCAUUAUGGCCAUUUGGGGAGUGAAACAGCUGAUGGAAGAUUCUCCUCCCCUAUCUCUGCCUUUUGAAUAAAUAAAUAUAUCUUAUAAAAAGAAAGAAGACACUAACAGAAAGAAAAAUGUGUCUGAUCUGAACAUACACAAGCUUUCAUCCCUGUCAUUAUUCCCCAAACAACACAGGAUGACAGCUAUUUAGAUAACAUUUACAUUGAUUACAUAUUACAAACCAUCUAGAGAUGGUGUGAAGUCUACAGGAGUGUGUGUGCAGAUUAUGUGAAGAGACUAAGCCAAUUAUGUAAGGGACUUGAGCACCUGUGGAGUACUGUAGGGGCACCCCAUGGGUACACGGGCAUGAUGAUUUAGGGGAACAGAGGGGUUUGCUUAACCAAAUCUCCUUCCUGGUUUCCUAGCUGCCUGAAGAAUGGGGCUCAUACCUUGGUUGAAAUCAGGUUCCAACUCUCAGAAGCCAUAAGAUUCGGUCAAGUUACGAGCUUUUAAGCAUCAAAGAACUUUGGCUUCAUUUAUUUUCUCAAUGCAGAUAAUAAGUAUUACCUACCGUAUGACUGUUACCUAUCAAGUGAUGAGGAUUGCUUUUAUGAUAUUGUCACUAGACCUUUAGAAAAGUCUGGAGGAUCUUUGUAACUAGACAGACAGGGAUUCAGCUCCCACUGUCCUUCUCUGUUGGCUCACAUGUCCCACCCUGCAGUAGAGUGUUGAGCCACACUUAGAGCCUAUUGCUUCCUCUUGGGCACCUGGCACAGAGCUCUGCCUUCUGCCCAGGCAGGCUAGACUGACCACCUGACCAUUAGAAGAGCUCUCUCUCCAGUACUGUGUGCCUCCUGAUUCUCUGGAAGGGGCUAGGAGCCAUCCGUGUGGAAGGCAGCUGGCAAACUGUGUUCCAGCUUAGGUUUGGGUCCCAAUUCACUUUAUGGUUGAAGGAAGUAACUAAUCUUCUUAGAAACUCCGGGUCUGCAGGUGGAACGGGGCUCUCCAGGGAAGCAAUCCCAUGAGGAUGCUUUUGUCAGCUACCACCCUCUCAGCUCAGGCCAUGUGGUCACCUGAGCAAGGCCAUCCUCUGAGACCUGCAGUACAUUGGAUGCAGCUGAGUAAGAAAGAGAGGGACACGUUGCAGGGACCAGCAGCAGAAGUUCAGGAGGACUGGGCGGCAGGAAAGGCUGGACAGCAGCCAGGGGAUGAGCCCUGCACAGCCACACCCUCACUGAAUCAAAGUGAGACAGAGACAGGCUCUCAGUGGCCUUCAGCCUUGGCCUGUGGCUGGCCAGGACCCUGGGGAAAUUCACACCAGCACACCCCUCUCAGUCCCCUGCUCUUAGGGAUGAUUUGAGUGCAGCGAGGCCAAUGCCCUCAGACAGCCCUCUGAAGCUGAAAGCCACAGGUGAGCCUGAAUUGCAUCCCACACUUAAGAAAACACACACAACGCAACAAAAGCCCUGAGGUUAUACAUAUUAAUGACUGGGUCCAGUCUCCACUUAGGAUUGAUUUUUCUGCCUUUCCAAUUGCAGGAAGCCAGAAAGAUGGGAUUAUUGUCUUGGGCAAUCACGCCAAGGCACCUGGCAGCUGUGUGCUCCAACUCCUUUCUCUGCCUGCUGCCAAAAUGGGCAACGUCUGGCUUUAUUCUGUCCCCAGAAUCCUCCCUGCUCACAGCACAAACGGAGGCCUUUGCCGACUCUCAUUAGAACCGGGAGUGCUUUGCAAUGCCAAUCUUGGUCAGAGUGACCUUUGCAAAACAGCUUGACCCCCACCUGGGGCGGCGGCCAGGAGACCCAGUGCUUACCCUGUGAGCCAGGAUUUCCAGUCGUAGUGAAACCAGGGCCACCUGCUGUCUAGACAGACUAUCACCAAUAUCCAAAAGGGAAAGAAAUACAGCACAGGGCCUGGAGAGGUAGCCCCCUGGGCAAGGAUGGAGACCCACAGGUUCCAAAUGGCAUGGUCCACUUGCUAAUCCCAAACCUGAUAGCCUAGAUGCUCACCGUGCAGGAGCCUGUGGCUCGAGCGUCCUGGAAGGAACCGUGGCUCAAACCGCCCUGCUCCUUAGCUCUCAGUCACAGGAUACACGCACAGUGAGGCAUGUGUGGAAUUGAUUAUGGAAAUAAUGUGUUCUGUGUUUGUUCGUUUGUCUCGUUUGUUCACUUCCUGGAUCUAUUUAACAUCUCUGUCCGUGUCCUUGCCACCAGCUCCUAUGGCAGGGCCUCAGUGGAUGGUGCCUGCUGUCCUGUCUCUGCACUGCCCAGACUCCAGCCAGCCCAGGCCCAGCUUUCCUCAAGACAGAGCUCCAAGAGAGUCCCCUGGCGCCCCUCAGCUGGAUGGAGAGCCUGGGGUGCCCCUGAAGCCAGGCAUAUCCCUGGCAGGUUUUUAUUUACUUGAAAGGCAGAGAAACAGAAAAGUGGGGAAGAGGGAGAGAGAGAGACAGAAAGACAGAGAGAUGGAGAGGGGUCUUCCAACCACUGAUUCUCUCCCCCUGAUGCCUAUAGCAGCUGGGGUGGGCAAAGUCAAAGCCAGGAACCAGGAAUUCCAUCCAGGUCUCCCAUAUGGGUGGCAGGGAUCCAACUGCUUGAGUCUGUCUCCUAGGGUGCACAUUAGCAGGAAGCUGGAAUCAGGAGCAGAGCUAAGACUUGAACCCAGGCACUAGGAUGUGGGGCUUCCAGGCUGCAUGGAGCCAAACGCCCACCCUCCUGGCAAAGUCCAUCCACAGGGUCCACCCACCUGCCCUGAGGAAGUCCGUGUCAAAUACUCUGGGCUUUGCUUCCUUCCUCUAUUGCACUCAGGCCAUCACAGCUACUCUUCUCUCUCACCCUCCCACCCCCUGCAGCCUGCUUGGCCCAGGCCCUCAGUUCCUAAGCUGAGAACAGCAGAGAAGAUAGGAAAUAACAGAGUGAGGCAUCAAGGUGACCUUCCAGAUCCAGCCUGAGGACAGAUGUAGCCGGGGCUCUGUUGCUUCUCCUCUUCCUCCUCCUUCACCACAACUAGGGGCAGGGAGACCCCUGACCCUUGUGCAGUCCCCGAAGGGACAGCUUCACAGUUCCCACCUUCUCCUGGGUCGGCCCAUCAUUGCACUCUGCUAAGUCUCCUCUCCCACAUCUUGAUCUAUUGGCCAAUUUGGCAUGUUGUUGUACAGCUUAUAGGUUGCAUUGCUGCGCUCUGGAGCCUUGUUCUGAGCCUGGACUCAGUAGCAGCCCUGAGACCCUCUCACAUCCAUCCCAGCCUCCUGCUCUCCCGCUGCAGUCAGUUCCAGGUUCUAGCCCAAGACUGCAUGAUUUCUUCCAGUGAUGCCACAUCCUUCUCAUGUGCUCAGGGAGGCGUCAUAGCCCCUCCCUCCCUCCUUGGAGAUCAACCACCUAGAAAUGCAUCAUCAUUAGCACCUGUUCCCUGCUGGGAGGGUCUGAAUGUGGGAGGGGAGACCUAGCAGAGGGCAAGCCUGGAGAUGGUCCAGACAGCCUGACCAGAAAUACCAAAGACCAAAAAUGACCUUGAGUCACAAGUCAAGGUCAGCUGCUCCUUGAGCCUGUGUGUGACAUGCAGGGCAGACGCAACAGUUUCAAGUCUACAGUAGGUGGGAUUAAAGAAUAAGGGCUGCUCCCUUCCAAAGUCCUUCUGCUACUGGCAGAUGUGAUGAAGACAGAAUGAAAGAACUAAUAUAAAAGUGCUUUGAACUUUUUUGGGCUCAAAGGAGCUUUCAGGAUCUAAGAUAUUCUGAUUAUCUUUUAGCAGGGUGAUCAUAUUGAUUCUAAGGGGCAAGGUGUCUGGGCUGCCUCUCAGAGACCUUGGAAGCUGUAAGUAUUUAUCCAUAUCAUUGUGUAAAGGUUCCUUGGAGGUCCAGAUUCAGAAGGAGGUUUAUGAAGGUGGUGAAGGGCUCAAGGUGAAGUUUUAUCUUAAUUAUAUGCUCACCUAAUUACGUGAUCACAGCCCAAGGGGAAGAGAAGCAAGCAUAGCUCUUUCCCUGCAGACAAUCACUUGCAAGACAGUUUACCUUGUGUCAUUCUCAGCCAUGGCUUUUGCCUCUGCAACUGAUGCUCCCAAGCACCGGCCUGAGGCUUUGGUCAGAGAACAUGGGAUUCACAAUGAUGAUGAUGAUGAUGCCAGAAAGACAGCUGACAGCAUUGCUCACAGGAGAGAUGGCAUGGAAAACAAAUAAACAACAACAACAACAACAAAACUCCCCUAACAUAAACACUUGGAUUUCAUUUGCUAAACGAGGGUGUCUGUACGCUUCCAGGCAUGGGAUGUACAGUGUUUGGCUCCUCCCUUGACUGUUCCAAGUCUCUAGUUCCUUUUACGCACCUGUAGAUAAUAUAAGCAUCUACCUCAUAGUGUGGGAAAAUGCAAAUAGGUAGGAAGCACAAAGCAUCCAGUGGACUGUUUGUUGGGCACGUAAUAAGUCUCCCAUAAUGGCACCUAUUGAUAACGUUGGCAUUGCUGACUCUUUUUAAAAAGCCUCAGCAUCACCUCUGGAUGAGGUGAUUGCAGCCACUACUCACUCCAAGGGAAGGAAUGGGGAUUCCUAGAGGAAGGUGGAACUCAGAUAUGUGAAUUCUCCUAGUAGGGUUAUGUCUGGUUCUGAACUAGUCCCAUAAAUCAGAAGCACUGGUCUCAUCCCCAAUUUUUGUGAAAGCUUGCUUAGCUGGUGUAUGUCAGGUGCCUCGUACAGUGCUCAGCCCACGGUGGGGGCUCCAGCUCUCACACCCACCGUCUGUCUUGGAGAAAGGCCUUGACAUUAGAGGCUAUGAUAAGGACCAAAGCCCUCUGCCUGUGGUCUAAGGAAGUCCCUGCUUCCACAUGAACAUUUAAACACCUGCUGAAGCAGCUGGGUACUCUGGAUCUUUCUCUGCCUUGAACAUGAGCCCUUAAAUGCUGGGAAUAAUUAAAGGCAAAGCCGCAGAACUGGAUAGAGUCACCCAUCCCGAGGACAGGUGACAAAUGAGGUAGGAGUUCUACAUGAGUUCAAGGUGAGAAUUGUAAAGAUCAUUUUCUGCUGGUGUCAGGGACGUUAUUUUAGGAAUGUGCGAUUCUGGCCUUGGAAGCCAAGCUUGGUUCAAAAACGAUAAUUCAUAUGCAGUGAACACGCAGAGUUAUGGUGCUAGGAGCAGAGAAUUCCUCUUGCUCAUUUGGCCAGUUUGGCUGCAUCAGGUGUUUCAGCAUAGAAAUGAGAAAUGUUUUAGGGAGAUUGCACAAAUAGAGCUUCCUGUGAAUGCCCGGGCUAAUGUCCAAUGAUUUUUGUUGAAUUAUCAUAUAUACCAGCUUGGGAUGGCUGGGAAAGCAAGCCCAUUCUCUCCCCCAAUUUGUAGGUUCAGAACUAGCCACAAAGAAAAGACUUUUGAAUAUGUACCUGUAUGGAAUUUAGGUUUUGCUAAACUUUGCCACUUUUCCAAUGAGCUAAACAGAACAUAUUCAUCCCUUGGGUAACCAUGUGUAUUUGUGUUUUUCUUUUUGAGCAGAUAAGCUAGAUAUAGAGAAAGUAUCACUUGAUUGAACAGAGUUCCUCUAAUUAAUGUUUUAUUUCUGGAGUAUGCUUUUAAUUUCUCAAAGUGCUUUUACAUAUAUUAUCUUAUUUAAUUUACGCAACAGUUUCGUGCAGCAGAGAGGCAGGUAUUAUCUGAUCCCAUAACACAGAUGCUUCAGUGAUUCACCCAGGAGAUACGGUGACACUGCCAGGGCUACAGCCUCCAUAGUCUGAAUCUCACACCUGUGCCCACUGUACAAGAUGAUGCUGUUCUCCUUGGAAACACACGCCCUGAAUUCGGGAUUCUGAGACAGUGCUGGAUUAAUCUGACUAGGGGACAGGGUACUGGCAAAAUGGCCCUGAGGAAUGUCCUGUGUGACUGCCCAGGAGCAGGGCUGUCUCUGUCCGUCUCUCUGUCUCUCUCCACCUCACUCUCAUUUUUCAUGGAAAGCAGAAUCUUUGGCCUCCUCCUGGGCCCUUUUAAGUGGUUCCUGCAGAAGUAGAUACAGGGUCACUUCAGAUUGCCUUUCAGGGUUGGCUGCUGGAGCAGGAAAAGUGAAGACAGCAGACGGUGUGCCUGUCGAUCUUGAUACGGCGGCAGGCCUUGGGGGACGUGUCCCCGCUGGAAAUGGCUGCCGGCUUGCCUCAAGGGGGGUGUGCAGGCUGAUUGGGAAGUCUUCCCCACUUUUUGCCCAGACUCAAUCAUUUGGGAGUGAUUGGAAAGCCUGCCUUCUCAUUGUGUAUGCUGCGGGUGAGGCCUGAGCUGCUGAUUGGGCCUCAGUUUAUAGAAAACCCAAUCAUGCUGUCCAAAUGGAUGUUUGAUGGGGUCUGCACCCAAAACAUGGGGAGAGAUUCUGAGUGAUGAGGACAAAACCCAGCAUCGGGCUGCCUGGAUCACAGUGGCAAAGGAAGACAGCGGGGUCUCGGUACUGGGGAACCCCAGCCUCAGAAACACCCCCUUUCCUUUUCAUGCCAUCUCUGUUCUCCCCUGGCUGUAUACACACCCUGGGUCUUACCAGUGAGCUCACUCCAGAAACGUAUUCAUAGGUGGGAUAUGCAGGCUGGCAAGUUGGCGUGCAGAGGUCUGAGUCCUGCUUCAUCUGCUUACCUGCUAAAUCCUGUCUUAACUUCUCCCUUUCUUCAUCUUUCCUAACUGGGGACCCAAGCAUCACCUUUUCACUUUUUUUUUUUUUUUUUUUUUUUU